UCACGCCUAGGGGCGGGACAGCGUCUAAUACCGGCUCUAAUACUGCCUAAUAAAUAUUAAUGUUCUAAUCUUCACCGUCAUAUGACUUGUUUUUUGGAUAGUAUGUCAUGACUUUUCCUACAAUAACUAACAACUGUCACGAAGACGCGAGGUGGAGGUACGCUGGGAAAAUAAACUGAUCUUCGGCCACGGCUCCAGCAUAUACAUAUAAUCGAGGACAUGGCUAUCGAAAGUCCAUGGCUGGGAGGCUAGGAGGAAUCAUAAGAAAUGGCUUUAUUAAAUAUCUCGAGGAAAAUGACCACUGGUGUUGGUUGUUAAAGUUUUAUGUUGCAUGAAAAUAAAAAACUGGACUGUGAAACUGAGACUAUCAUUUGUACUUCCCUUGGACGUGCGACGGUGCGCAUUCUGCCAUUAAAGCAUUUUACUUUAAUGUCUCUGAGGCGUUUUUGAGCUAGGGUAUUUCUGCUGGUUCCAGUCAAUAGUCAAUAACCAAGCCAAUCGAAUAUCGAAUAAUCUCCGGUGAUGUGACCUCAAUAUUGUAUAAGAUCUUCAGACCAAAAGAUACGACACAUUCGACAAAUAAACUUCUGUGUGAUAGAAGUACGCAUGGACACAAUCACGACUGUUUGCAGUUGUCCGUCAUUUGCUGGUCCCAAAUUGAUUCUCUUGGUAUGAGCUGGUAUGAGAAGCUCAAUAAGAGAGCAAGAUAUUGUCGACUUCAGUUUUCUAGUCCUGAUUCAUUUACAAAUGCAACACAAAAACGAUGAAACAACCACGAUCAUAUUUUUUUCUUUUCAUUGUUAUCACGGUUGUCAUUCCAAAUCAAUUCAGCGCAAUCGACGUGGCUUACUUUGUUCAAAUUUGGUAGGGCUAUGGGAUUAAUAUUUCCUAAUAUUGCUAAUAUCGCUAAUUAUUAUUAGAGCUGUCCCGCCCCUAGGAUCACGCUGUUUUUGGUACAUGCUGUAAGGUUUGAAUGUGUUACAUAAUGUGGAAACUAUUACUGAAUAUACCUUUUUAAAAACUAAUCUUACACUUUAAAAUUUCUGAUUUUUCUCGCACAACUUGUACUGGCAAUGGCGCAAACUUUCUACUCUACUUUCUUCUAUCUUUCGGAUUGAUUAGCGUGCCCUAUCGGUACAAUUGAGUCCCUCUCAUCGCUAACAUUUCUCUUUGGUGCAUUUUGUUCCCUUCUACUUUUUAUGUCGUGCAACACUGCUGCGUAUGUCGUACUCAAUCUAUCUAUGUCCGUUCGUUUAUUGACUGUGUGGUCUGUGUUAGUGAUACGAAACAUAGGACAAAUAACGACACAAAGAUUGUAAGUUUAAACAACUAGACAUUAACAUACAGUAUUAGUAAAAAUAAUCAAUUACAGUACCCCCUGAGGAAGACACAAACCCCGUGUCGAAACGUUGGGCAAAUAAAUAACGUCGUUUGUUCAUUUUAUGACUGCGUAGCCAAAAACAGU